AGUGAACGCUGGCGGUAUGCCUAACACAUGCAAGUCGAACGGCAGCACAGUAAGAGCUUUCCCUUACGGGUGGCGAGUGGCGGGCGGGUGAGGAAUACAUCGGAUUCUACUUUUUCGUGGGGGAUAACGUAGGGCAACUUACGCUAAUACCACAUACGACCUACGGCUGAAAUCAGGGGAUCUUCGCACCUUUCGCGACUGAAUGAGCCGAUGUCGGAUUAGCUAGUUGGCGGGGUAAAGGCCCACCAAGGCGACGAUCCGUAGCUGGUCUGAGAGGAUGAUCAGCCACACUGGAACUGAGACACGGUCCAGACUCCUACGGGAGGCAGCAGUGGGGAAUAUUGGACAAUGGGCGCAAGCCUGACCCAGCCAUACCGCGUGAGUGAAGAAGGCCUUCGGGUCGUAAAGCCCUGUUGUUGGGAAAGAAAAGCAGCAUGUGAAUACCCCGCUGUUCUGACGGUACCCAAAGAAUAAGCACCGGCUAACUUCGUG
rnacentral:rRNA from 1 species